AAAGUCUCCUUUUGAACUACUUAUUUUGCUGGACAUGGUGGUACAUGUCUUUAUCCCAGCACCCAGGAGGCAGAGGUAAGAGGAUCUCUGUGAGUUUGAGGCCAGUGUGGUUUACAUAGAGAGUAAACAGAGAGAGGACAGCCAGUACUACAUAGUCUCUGUUGCAAAAGACCAAAAAAGCCAGGUGGGGUGGCAAAUGCCUUUAAUCCCAGCACUUGCAGGGCAGAGGCAAGCAGAUAGAUCUUUGUGAAUUUGAGGUUAGCCUGGUUGACAGCCAGGCUGUUACACAGAGAAACCCUGUCUUCAAAGACAAAAAAAAAAUAUUUUAUAUGUGUGGGUGUUUUGUUUGUACAUAUAUUUACGGGCCACUUGCAUCAGAAGCCAGAAGAUGGCAUCAGAUCCUCUGGAACUGAAGUAUUGGAUGGUUGUGAGACACGGUAUGGGCUCUAGGAACGGAAUCAGGGUCCUCUGGAACAGCAGCCAGCUUCCCUAACUGCUGAAGCAUCUCUCUGGCUUAUGUAACCACAUGCAGAGACUCUGUAUCUAAACUCUGCAGCUUCUUUAAAUAUUUUGUAGCCAUUUGGUCACUUACCUAUCUACAUGUGCAUAAUGAACACACACACACACACACACACACACACACACACAGUGACAUGUAACCUGAAACUCAAAGUUAUUAUCUAAGACUAAAGUAAGAAGAUAAACCUUGCUUGCCAACAGCCAGGCCAUCAAAGGAAACUCAAAUUACUUGUAAAUUGUCGAAAACCAAAGUAACUUUUGAAUUUACUGUUACCUGAUACAUUCUGACAUCGUGGAAAGACACAAGAGUGUGCUAUGUUUCUGACACUCUGUAUUCACAACACCUGCCCAGAGUAGAGUAGAUCAAACCUGCCGGGGUCAACUAAACAUGCCCACUGUCUCCUAGGUCAACUAAACAUGCCCACUGUCUCCUAGGUCAACCAAACAUGCCAAACACUGUCCCCUAGGUCAACCAAACAUGCUAAAAUACUGUCCCCUAGGUCAACUAAACAUGCCAAACACUGUCCCCUAGGUCAACCAAACAUGCUAAAAUACUGUCCCCUAGGUCAACCAAACAGGCCAAACACUGUCCCCUAGGUCAACCAAACAUGCUAAAAUACUGUCCCCUAGGUCAACUAAACAUGGCAAACACUGUCCCCUAGGUCAACCAAACAUGCCAAACACUGUCCCCUAGGUCAACCAAACAUGCCAAACACUGUCCCCUAGGUCAACCAAACAUGCCAAACACUGUCCCCU
rnacentral:lncRNA from 1 species